rnacentral:rRNA from 1 species
AUUGAACGCUGGCGGUAGGCCUAACACAUGCAAGUCGAACGAGUGGCGGACGGGUGAGUAAUACCUCGGAAUCUACUCUGUCGUGGGGGAUAACGUCUGGAAACUUUCGCUAAUACCGCAUACGAUUGGAUGUGCCGAUGUGGGAUUAGCUAGUUGGCGGGGUAAAGGCCCACCAAGGCGACGAUCCGUAGCUGGUCUGAGAGGAUGAUCAGCCACACUGGAACUGAGACACGGUCCAGACUCCUACGGGAGGCAGCAGUGGGGAAUAUUGGACAAUGGGCGCAAGCCUGAUCCAGCCAUACCGCGUGGGUGAAGAAGGCCUUCGGGUUGUAAAGCACUUUUGUUGGGAAAGCGGUACCCAAAGAAGAAGCACUGGCUAACUUCGUGCCAGCAGCCGCGGUAAUAC